CAGUAGCCGCGGGAAUACGUAGGGUGCAAGCGUUAAUCGGAAUUACUGGGCGUAAAGCGUGCGCUGGCGGUUAUAUAAGUCAGAUGUGAAAUCCCCGGGCUCAACCUGGGAACUGCAUUUGAGACUGUAUGGCUAGAGUGUGUCAGAGGGGGGUAGAAUUCCACGUGUAGCAGUGAAAUGCGUAGAUAUGUGGAGGAAUACCGAUGGCGAAGGCAGCCCCCUGGGAUAACACUGACGCUCAUGCACGAAAGCGUGGGGAGCAAACAGGAUUAGAUACCCCAGUAGUCCCUGUCUCUUAUAA
rnacentral:rRNA from 1 species